UCAGUCGAGUGAGCAUCUCCGACACGCUAACAACUGCUAUUGUUUGUCAUCAACAACAUUCUUCGUCGUUAUACCAGCUCGCAACCAUGGGAAGGGCCAGGAUUCAGUCGAUGGCCGGCCGACGACAGCGCCUUCCGACCCGAAUCUCUUCCAGCUGCUGCCAGCCCACCGGUGAAUAUUUCGAUGUCGUUGGCGCUGGCCAGGAGUACGACGUUGGUGGAUGAGACGCCUCGCAACGAUCGCUAAUGUCCCAAAGUUAGCUAUGGCGUCGUGCUGCUUUUGGAUGUUGUAUCGUUGGUGAUUAGGGUGAUUAGGUCGAACAUUGGUGUACCAAUGUCCCCUGGGUAUGGCGGAUGCCAAGUCGCAAUGCCCCCGUUUUACUACAUAACAUCAGCAACAAAAUACGCAACGACCAUUUGGUGUAACGACGUCCCCAAGUACUACAGCGAAAGGCCGAGUCGCGUUUGCUGCCCCAGUUUACUACACCGAGGAACCCAAGUAUUAAUCUGCUCCAAACUACUACCAAACAGAGGCUCCUGUUUACUACACCACCAACGCUCCCGAGUAUUACUGAGUAAUUACGCUCCCCCUGACUACUGCACUGAAGCUCCAAAGUACUACACCAUCAGUGCACAUUGCACAACCAUUUCGUGUCCAUAGUUAAUGUUUGCGUCGUGUUGCUGUUGGGGUUCUAUCGUUGGUAGCGGGUCGACUAUUGUAUUCUUCCAAUCCUCAAUCACAGUAAGCUAUGGUGUCGUGCUGCUGUUGGUUGUUGUAUCGUUGAUGGGUGAACCGAACACUGGUGUACCGAUAUCUCCAGAGGAUGGUGGAUGCGAAAUCGCAACGCCGUCGCCUAACCAAGACAACAUAGUCAACAACCAGUUACUUCACCAAAGCAUCGGAGGACUUCACCAAAACCUGUGCUGCUCCGCGUGUUGCUCCAGCUUGCUGUCUUGAGACAACGUUACUCCGCUUCCAGCUACUACACCUAGGCUCCAGCUUGCUUCACCACCGAGGCAUCGGAUUGUUACACACCUACCCACGCUGCUCCAGUCUCCUACAUAGAGGAUCCCAACACUACACAUCCAGGGCACCGGAGUACUACACGACUACGUAUGCUGCCCAAGCUGACUACACCAAGGCUCCCAAGUGAUCUCUGCUAGCAGCUACUACACCGAGUCACUAAAAUUCUACUCUGCCCCCAGCUACACACUCGCAACUGAGCCGGCCAACUAUUACGCAGGCAGUACCUACAAACCACUGUUUACGCUUCUCCGACCUAACACACCGACCGAAGUAUUACUCUGCCCCGAAUUACUACAUCAGUAAGGCACUUGAAAGUAAAACCACAACCUACAAUGUGAGAUCUAAAAUUUGUGUUCGAUGUUGAUGUGAUCAAAUCUUAAAAGUUAUUGUCAAUUGAAACUGAUUGUUGAUUUUAAAUGCAAUAAAUUGGUAAUGCGGAAAAUUGGAGCAAAUAAAAUUGGUAAUGCGAGUAAUCAUCUUGUACAACAUCUCAACACCUCCAACCAUUUAAACAUUGGGACGUUUUCUGUAUAUGCUUUUGGAUAUUACCUAUUUUACUUGAUUGGAAUGAUUAGUUACAAUCUUGGAGUUCUUUAUCAUUGGAAAAAUUUCAUUUUUUAGGUAAUUUACGCAAAGCUUUUAAUAUUU